GUGGAUACAAAUGUCUCCCGUUACACCUCCGAACACGUUGGUGAUGUAUUUUAAACAUACCCAUCACCAGGGGACACAAGUAUGAGAAGCAUUUUGUUUUGCAGUGACAAAAAAGAUAAAACAUUGCAAAAGGUUGCCAACAAAGCAAGCUCUGUGGUGAACCAUAGCCGCUCUGUGGAAGAUCUGGAAAAGACAGAAAAACCUUAAAAAAAGAAAGCAAAGGGGGAAAGCCCCUGCCAGAAGGAGUUACCAGUAAUUUUGAAAGGAAACGCUCUGGAAGGGAACAGCUGGAAGAGGAUGAGGAAGGGGUUACAGAGGCCAUCGAGUGAGCAAGGAGGAUGGCGUGAUGAAGGAAGGAUGUGCUGGAGAUCCCUGGCUUUGCCUCCUGCCUCUCCUACGGGGCCCAGGGUGCCCUUGGGGAGGCCACAGGACAUGUCCACCUUCCUACCAACCAGGAAGAGUGCUGGUGUGUUUCGGAGAUGGGAUGGGGGGAGACAGAGACAAGAUUGCCUGAGUGCCAGUAAAGCUUCGGUGCCUUUGUCUGCAAUUCCCCCUCUUCGCCCCAGCACUCCAAGUUCUCCUGCAGUUGAUACCAACGAGUGGGAAAGAAUCCUACAGCGGUUCAGAGCAAAGUGUGUGCAGCACAAAUGCCCACGGAUGAACGUCACCCGAAGCAGUGCUCUGAGAGACUGCAAUCAUGAUUGCCAAUAGACAACAUCCAGACUAAAAAUAAAAAGCCACAGCAUGGGACCGAGAGACA
rnacentral:lncRNA from 1 species